rnacentral:ncRNA from 1 species
GUCGGGAGGGCGACGAAUACAACACCCAGUAAUGGGGAAUAAGUCCACGGUCUCGUUUAGCCGUUUCGAACCUCCCGGCACCACUCC